CCUACGGGAGGCAGCAGUGAGGUAUAUUGGUCAAUGGGAGGAAUCCUGAACCAGCCAUGCCGCGUGCAGGACGACGGCUCUACGAGUUGUAAACUGCUUUUGUACCGGGGUAGAAUGCUCUACGAGUAGGGGUUUGCAAGUACGGUACGAAUAAGGAUCGGCUAAUUCCGUGCCAGCAGCCGCGGUAAUACGGAGGAUCCGAGCGUUAUCCGGAUUCAUUGGGUGUAAAGGGCGCGUAGGUUGCUUUAUAAGUUAGCGGUGAAAUACCGAGGCUCAACACCGGGGCUGCCGCUGAUACUGUAGGACUAGAGUUCGGGUGCAGCAGGCGGAAUGUGUAGUGUAGCGGUGAAAUGCGUAGAUAUUAGGCAGAACACCGAUUGCGAAGGCAGCUUGCUGGGCCGGAUCUGACGCUGAUGCACGAAGGCGUGGGGAGCGAACAGGAUUAGAUACCCCAGUAGUC
rnacentral:rRNA from 1 species